GAUGAAGAACGCAGCGAAAUGCGAUAAGUAAUGUGAAUUGCAGAAUUCAGUGAAUCAUCGAAUCUUUGAACGCACAUUGCGCCCCCUGGUAUUCCGGGGGGCAUGCCUGUCCGAGCGUCAUUACAACCCUCAAGCUCAGCUUGGUGUUGGGCCCCGCCGCCCCGGCGGGCCCUAAAGUCAGUGGCGGUGCCGUCCGGCUCCGAGCGUAGUAAUUCUUCUCGCUCUGGAGGUCCGGUCGUGUGCUCGCCAGCAACCCCCAAUUUUUUUCAGGUUGACCUCAGAUCAGGUAGGGAUACCCGCUGAACUUAAGCAUAUCAAUAAGCGGAGGA
rnacentral:misc_RNA from 1 species